AGCCGCGGUAAUUCCAGCUCCAAUAGCGUAUAUUAAAGUUGUUGCAGUUAAAAAGCUCGUAGUUGAAUUUCGGGGUCAGUAGAUUGGUCGUGCCACUGGUAUGUACUGGUCUUACUGGCUCCUCCUUCCUGAUGAACCGUAAUGCCAUUAAUUUGGUGUUGCGGGGAGACUGGACUGUUACUUUGAAAAAAUUAGAGUGUUUAAAGCAGGCUAACGCUUGAAUACAUUAGCAUGGAAUAAUGAAAUAGGACGUUCGAUCUUAUUUUGUUGGUUUCUAGGAUUGACGUAAUGAUUAAUAGGGAUAGUUGGGGGCAUUAGUAUUCAAUUGUCAGAGGUGAAAUUCUUGGAUUUAU
rnacentral:rRNA from 1 species